GAUGAACGCUGGCGGCGUGCUUAACACAUGCAAGUCGAACGAGAAGUGAAGACGGAAACCUUCGGGCGGAAGGCUUUAUUUCGAGUGGCGGACGGGUGAGUAACGCGUGGGUAACCUGCCUCAUACAGGGGGAUAACAGUUGGAAACGACUGUUAAUACCGCAUAAGACCACAGCACCGCAUGGUGCGGGGGUAAAAACUCCGGUGGUAUGAGGUGGACCCGCGUUCGAUCAGCCAGUUGGCGGGGUAACGGCCCACCAAAGCGACGAUCGAUAGCCGAUCUGAGAGGGUGACCGGCCACAUUGGGACUGAGACACGGCCCAAACUCCUACGGGAGGCAGCAGUGGGGAAGAUUGCACAAUGGGGGAAACCCUGAUGCAGCGACGCCGCGGGAGUGAAGAAGUAUUUCGGUAGGUAAAGCUCUAUCAGCAGGGAAGAAAAGGACGGGACCGGAGUAAGAAGCCCCGGCGAACUACGU
rnacentral:rRNA from 1 species